CCAGACUCCUACGGGAGGCAGCAGUGGGGAAUAUUGCACAAUGGGGGAAACCCUGAUGCAGCGACGCCGCGUGAGCGAUGAAGUAUUUCGGUAUGUAAAGCUCUAUCAGCAGGGAAGAAAAUGACGGUACCUGACUAAGAAGCCCCGGCUAACUACGUGCCAGCAGCCGCGGUAAUACGUAGGGGGCGAGCGUUAUCCGGAUUCACUGGGUGUAAAGGGAGCGUAGACGGUUAUGCAAGUCUGAAGUGAAAGCCCAAGGCUCAACCAUGGGACUGCUUUGGAAACUGUAAAACUGGAGUGCAGGAGAGGUAAGCGGAAUUCCUAGUGUAGCGGUGAAAUGCGUAGAUAUACGGAGGAACACCAGUGGCGAAGACGGCCUGCUGGACAUUAACUGACGCUGAGGCGCGAAAGCGUGGGGAGCAAACAGGAUUAGAUACCCGAGUA
rnacentral:rRNA from 1 species